CUCCUACGGGAGGCAGCAGUGGGGAAUAUUGGACAAUGGGCGCAAGCCUGAUCCAGCAAUGCCGCGUGAGUGAUGAAGGCCUUCGGGUUGUAAAGCUCUUUCGCACGCGAGGAUGAUGACGCUAGCGUGAGAAGAAGCCCCGGCUGACUUCGUGCCAGCGGCCGCGGUAAUACGAAGGGGGCGAGCGUUGUUCGGAUUUACUGGGCGUAAAGGGCGCGUAGGCGGCGCCGGAAGUCGAGUGUGAAAGCCCCGGGCUCAACCUGGGAAUGGCGCUCGAGACUCUGGUGCUUGAGUUCGGGAGAGGAGCGUGGAAUUCCCAGUGUAGAGGUGAAAUUCGUAGAUAUUGGGAAGAACACCGGUGGCGAAGGCGGCGCUCUGGACCGAGACUGACGCUGAGGCGCGAAAGCGUGGGGAGCAAACAGGAUUAGAUACCCUGGUAGUCCACGCGGUAAACGAUGUGUGCUAGACGUUGGGGAGCCUAGCUCUUCGGUGUCGCCGCUAACGCUUUAAGCACACCGCCUGGGGAGUACGGCCGCAAGGUUAAAACUCAAAGGAAUUG
rnacentral:rRNA from 1 species